rnacentral:rRNA from 1 species
CACGUAGGGUGCGAGCGUUGUCCGGAAUUAUUGGGCGUAAAGAGCUCGUAGGCGGUGUGUCGCGUCGGCCGUGAAAACCUGCAGCUUAACUGUGGGCUUGCGGUCGAUACGGGCAUCACUGGAGUUCAGCAGGGGAGACUGGAAUUCCUGGUGUAGCGGUGAAAUGCGCAGGUAUCAGGAGGAACACCGGUGGCGAAGGCGGGUCUCUGGGCCGAUACUGACGCUGAGGAGCGAAAGCGUGGGGAGCGAACAGG